GACGAACGCUGGCGGCGUGCUUAACACAUGCAAGUCGAACGGAAAGGCCCUGCUUUUGUGGGGUGCUCGAGUGGCGAACGGGUGAGUAACACGUGAGUAACCUGCACUUGACUUUGGGAUAACUUCAGGCAACUGGGGCUAAUACCGGAUAGGAGCUCCUGCUGCAUGGUGGGGGUUGGAAAGUUUCGGCGGUUGGUGAUGGACUCGCGGCUUAUCAGCUUGUUGGUGGGGUAGUGGCUUACCAAGGCUUUGACGGGUAGCCAGCCUGAGAGGGUGACCGGCCACAUUGGGACUGAGAUACGGCACAGACUCCUACGGGAGGCAGAAGUGGGGAAUAUUGCACAAUGGGCGGAAGCCUGAUGCAGCAACGCCGCGUGCGGGAUGACGGCCUUCGGGUUGUAAACCGCUUUCGCCUGUGACGAAGCGUGAGUGACGGUAAUGGGUAAAGAAGCACCGGCUAACUACGUG
rnacentral:rRNA from 1 species